UACGGGGGGAGCAAGCGUUGUUCGGAUUUACUGGGCGUAAAGGGCGCGUAGGCGGUCACGACAAGUCAGUUGUGAAAUCUCCGGGCUUAACUCGGAACGGUCAACUGAUACUGUCGGACUAGAGUGCAGAAGGGGCAACUGGAAUUCUCGGUGUAGCGGUGAAAUGCGUAGAUAUCGAGAGGAACACCUGCGGCGAAGGCGGGUCGCUGGGCUGACACUGACGCUGAGGCGCGAAAGCUAGGGGAGCGAACGGG
rnacentral:rRNA from 1 species